rnacentral:pre_miRNA from 1 species
AGUUGGAUAACUGGGUCAAAUGGUGAUUCCCUUCCAGGUUUUCUUAGGAAUCUCCAUACUGCUUUACAGAGUGGUUGCACCCAUUUGCAGUCCCAACAGCAAU